CCUACUUCUGUUCCUUUCCGCAGCAUUGCUCUGGCAUCUCGUGUGGAGCGUUGCCUAGCUAGUUAAUUGAGAACCUCUGGAGACCCCGGCUAGUUUGAGAAGAACAAAGUAAAAUGGGAUUAUUCUCUCGGGAACAACGGAGGAGAUUGGAAGAGCCCAGGGGAGAAGCAUUGAAGAGCGGAGGCCAGGCAGUCCAUGACAGCGCUGCUACAAACCUUUUAGGCUGUCUGCUGGAGCUCCGACUCUAUUGGAUUUGGCUCAUGUGCCUGUCUAACGCUUUGAGAGCUGCUCUAAUGUGCUGUCAGCCGUUCCACAUGCACUUUCUCUGUCGUGAUGCACUUGGCUGUCUGAACAACUGUUGCAUCUGCAGCACCCGGACGAGCUGAUGGGAUCUGAUGUCACGUACGCUCGAAGUGUUGACGGGCUCCGACCAAAGUAACUGAGAACCUGCUGGUAUCAUCCUCGUCUUCAAUGGCAGCCACAGCCUCUGGACUCCAAACUCUGAACGCCGCUUAUCUUUACAGCCGCUAAUACUGGCCGAGGAACCCAGUGAUGGGACCAGCCCGUGUUAACCAUUAACACCCCAACUUGCACCCUUUUUCAUCCUGUUGAGAUCCUAAUGUAGUGUUUUACACCACAAUGCAUUUAUCAUGUCUUAUUUGGCACACAUUGUUAUGAACAAAAUGAAAUUAUAUCAUUCAUAUUUCCCUGUAAUGUAAACAAAGC
rnacentral:lncRNA from 1 species